GGCAGUGUAGCUUAAUUGGUAAGGAGUUGGUCUUGGAACCUAAAAGGUUGCAGGUUCGAUUCCUCGCUAGGGCACUGCCG
rnacentral:tRNA from 1 species